rnacentral:rRNA from 1 species
UACAGAGACUGCAAGCGUUGUUCGGAUUCAUUGGGCGUAAAGGGUCCGCAGGCGGUUCGGCAAGUCGGGUGUGAAAUCCCGUAGCUUAACUACGGAAAGUCAUUCGAAACUGCCGAGCUAGAGGACUGGAGAGGAGACUGGAAUGGUCGGUGUAGCGGUGAAAUGCGUAGAGAUCGACCAGAACACCAGUAGCGAAGGCGAGUCUCUGGACAGUUCCUGACGCUCAUGGACGAAAGCCAGGGGAGCAAACGGGAUUAGAUACCCCGGUAGUCCUGGCCCUAAACGGUGCUUACUUGGUGUGGGGGGAUUCGACCCCCUCCGUGCCGUAGCUAACGCGUUAAGUAAGCCGCCUGGGAAGUACGGUCGCAAGAUUA